rnacentral:snRNA from 1 species
GGAUAUGAGGGUAACAAAGCCAUGACAUCUAAAACCCUAUUGAUAGGCAGGGUUGACUCAGCUGAUCUAACUAGCUACUCAAGUUUCCCCAUCCUCUGUCACUAUUCCAUGUGUGUCCUUUUCCACGGCUGCAAGUUUGGUCAAAGAAGGAGACCUUCUUCAGUUAGAAGAAGACCUGUCUUUCUAAGGAGAGUAUAUGAGUACCUCUGCUUGACUGCUAGAACCUCUAAUAAGCUCUCCAGGUACAGAAGAGAUCUGUGCCACUCCUCACCCCAGAACCUUGAAGCUAAGGUGUCAGGGAUUGUACAAGACUGCACUACAUGGCACUCCUU